UAAGUACUGACUAUGUUAAUUAGCGUAUUAAUAAUAAUAUACGAAAUACUGAUGCUCUGAUGGUCAUUUCAAAAAAUCCUUUUUUAAGAGAGCACCUAGAAGCCAAGAGGAACAUACGUGCCAAAUUUCAAGUUUGUAGGAGUUACGGUUCUGGAGAUAUUGUGAUGAAGUGUGAGUGGUAUUUCACUUUUAUAUAUAUAGAU